rnacentral:tRNA from 1 species
GCCAAUGUAGCUUAACAAAAGCAUAACACUGAAGAUGUUAAGAUAGACCCUUGAUAGGUCUCAUUAGCA